rnacentral:rRNA from 1 species
CCUACGGGUGGCAGCAGUGAGGAAUAUUGGUCAAUGGGCGCGAGCCUGAACCAGCCAAGUAGCGUGAAGGAUGACUGCCCUACGGGUUGUAAACUUCUUUUGUCGGGGAACAAAGGCGGAGACGCGUCUCCGGAUGAGUGUACCCGAAGAAAAAGCAUCGGCUAACUCCGUGCCAGCAGCCGCGGUAAUACGGAGGAUGCGAGCGUUAUCCGGAUUUAUUGGGUUUAAAGGGUGCGUAGGCGGAUUUUUAAGUCAGCGGUAAAAUGUCCGGGCUCAACCCGGGCCGGCCGUUGAAACUGGGGAUCUUGAGUGGGCGAGAAGUAUGCGGAAUGCGUGGUGUAGCGGUGAAAUGCAUAGAUAUCACGCAGAACUCCGAUUGCGAAGGCAGCAUACCGGCGCCCGACUGACGCUGAGGCACGAAAGCGUGGGGAUCGAACAGGAUUAGAUACCCGGGUAGUC